rnacentral:rRNA from 1 species
GAGUUUGAUCCUGGCUCAGAUUGAACGCUGGCGGCAUGCUUUACACAUGCAAGUCGAACGGCAGCACGGGUGCUUGCACCUGGUGGCGAGUGGCGAACGGGUGAGUAAUGCACCGGAACGUACCCAGUAAUGGGGGAUAACACAUCGAAAGAUGUGCUAAUACCGCAUACGCCCUGAGGGGGAAAGCGGGGGAUCGUAAGACCUCGCGUUAUUGGAGCGGCCGAUGCCGGAUUAGCUAGUUGGUGAGGUAAGAGCUCACCAAGGCGACGAUCCGUAGCUGGUCUGAGAGGACGACCAGCCACACUGGGACUGAGACACGGCCCAGACUCCUACGGGAGGCAGCAGUGGGGAAUUUUGGACAAUGGGCGCAAGCCUGAUCCAGCCAUGCCGCGUGAGUGAAGAAGGCCCUCGGGUUGUAAAGCUCUUUCGCAAGGAAAGAAAACUUAUCUACUAA